GGCACUCUAAGGAGACUGCCGGUGACAAACCGGAGGAAGUGGGGAUGACGUCAAGUCCUCAUGGCCCUUAUGGGUAGGGCUUCACACGUCAUACAAUGGUCGGUACAGAGGGUUGCCAAGCCGCGAGGUGGAGCCAAUCCCACAAAGCCGAUCGUAGUCCGGAUUGUUCUCUGCAACUCGAGAGCAUGAAGUCGGAAUCGCUAGUAAUCGCAGGUCAGCAUACUGCGGUGAAUACGUUCCCGGGUCUU
rnacentral:rRNA from 1 species